rnacentral:rRNA from 1 species
UACGGGGGGGGCAAGCGUUGUUCGGAAUUACUGGGCGUAAAGGGCUCGUAGGUGGCCAACUAAGUCAGACGUGAAAUCCCUCGGCUUAACCGGGGAACUGCGUCUGAUACUGGAUGACUUGAGUUCGGGAGAGGGAAGCGGAAUUCCGGGUGUAGCGGUGAAAUGCGUAGAUAUCCGGAGGAACACCGGUGGCGAAGGCGGCUUCCUGGACCGAUCACUGACGCUGAGGCGCGAAAGCUAGGGGAGCAAACGGG